rnacentral:rRNA from 1 species
UACAGAGGUCUCAAGCGUUGUUCGGAUUCAUUGGGCGUAAAGGGUGCGUAGGCGGCGCGGUAAGUCGGGUGUGAAAUCUUGGAGCUUAACUCCGAAACUGCAUUCGAUACUGCCGUGCUCGAGGACUGGAGAGGAGACUGGAAUUUACGGUGUAGCGGUGAAAUGCGUAGAUAUCGUAAGGAAGACCAGUGGCGAAGGCGGGUCUCUGGGCCUUACCUGACGCUGAGGAGCGAAAGCGUGGGGAGCGAACAGG